AGAGUUUGAUCAUGGCUCAGGAUGAACGCUAGCUACAGGCUUAACACAUGCAAGUCGAGGGGCAGCGAUGGUCUUAGCUUGCUAAGGCCGAUGGCGACCGGCGCACGGGUGAGUAACACGUAUCCAACCUGCCGUCUACUCUUGGGACAGCCUUCUGAAAGGAAGAUUAAUACAAGACGGCAUCAUGAGUCCGCAUGUUCACAUGAUUAAAGGUAUUCCGGUAGACGAGUGGGGAUGCGUUCCAUUAGAUAGUAGGCGGGGUAACGGCCCACCUAGUCUUCGAUGGAUAGGGGUUCUGAGAGGAAGGUCCCCCACAUUGGAACUGAGACACGGUCCAAACUCCUACGGGAGGCAGCA
rnacentral:rRNA from 1 species